GCUGUAGCCUUAUGCUAGAGAUAUGGUUCACGACAGUACUCAUAUGGGGAAAAUGGAACACAUGAGUGUGUUGUCGAUGUGUUGACAGUCCGCUUGUGUUGACAGCUUGGGAACGAUUUGUUAGAUAAGACGUCAAAGAUCCUCACCUCUCGAUAUCUCCGUGGAUUCCUAGCUCGUUAAGUUUACUAAGAAUGGUGGAUUAUUUACACGAUCAAAUGAAAUUCUACAAUUCGAGUCUGCAGCAACAUCAACUAGACUAAUGUUCUCCAUAACAAAUUGUCUAAUCGACUUUCGUCGCGGCAGCGCCGGAGAAGCGAUUCUAGGACAAAACUGCCGUAGAAACGAGCGCAGGCAAAGAGCUGACCUGCCACUCCUGAGGAAUGCUGAACAGAUUCCCGAGGUAUCUAGGAGCUUGUAUACAAAGAUGAUGACCCGCUUGUGACGUGACUUACUGCCCCCCCCUCCUCUCCCUCGCAGGCUGCAGAUGAUCCUGAACAUCAGGAACUCUAUUACGACUCUGGGAACUGACGGUACAUGGGUGAUUUCGUUCUA